UCUCAAAGAAACAAAUUCACUAAGUCCUGCUUCUCGUAAAAUGUCGUAGAAAUCGAAAUUGCUUACCUCGAAGUAGUCCUCAUCAAGGUAUUUGCUUUCCAAUAUGUGUCGAUUGACAAAAUGCAAACUAAAUUUCUUAUACUGUGUAGGCGAAGAGAACAAUUGGUGACCUGGAGAUGGGGGUGGGGAAGGCAUCGGACUUCGAGGGCGACGUUGUGGGCGUGACGAAGCUCCCCUCUGUUUCUUCCUUGCACGGUCAGCCAUGGAUGGAGAAACUUCUGCAAAUGGAGGACCACAACUUCACGAAAUAGGUUAGUUUACUUUAAAAGUUGGAGGGGUGGGAAGUUAAACCUAAAGUGGGGAACGUGGGCAAUUGAAGCAUGUAUUUGGUAUUUAAAGGAACCCAAGACAGUUCGUAAUCGUUUACAUAAAUUUCGUAAUCGAUUACAACACUUAUUUGCAUAAUAUAAUGGCUUUUUAAACAAUGAUGCAAAGCAUGCCAUGUAUCAGAACCUAUGAAUUUAUUUAUAAAGCUUACUUUGACGUUUUUUUAACAUUUCAUAAUGAAAUUUGUUUUAGACAAAAUAUUAAUAUUCAUACCAACUUCAAUAAGAAGCACUUAUAUACAUCAAAGUAUGUUAUUGUCAAAAGUGUUAUGCACAGCAGAUAACAAAGACAUAAAUCCAGAUGGCGGCAACGUGGAUUGGUCUGAGAAGUGGUAACGUUGGGAUGAAACUUGAAUGACCUCAGCACUUUGUAGAGCAUCAGGUAUUGUAGAUUCCUAAAUAAUUGAAAUAGGAAUUAGGAGACAGAUCACAUUUGACAAAGGUUGAUGCAAAUAUAAAACAGGAGAAAACAAGAACAAUCGUGUACCAAUGGUAUGGAUGACUUCUUUGCUGAAGAUGGUUUUCUUUUUGUUGUUCUUUUCUCGACUGUUGACUUCAACCUGUUUGUGCGAGGUCUCCCUUUUCGCUUAACUGUUAAUGGACUGCGCACAAGAACAUCAUCAUUUCCCCGCUCAGUCUCAAGUGUUGGAUUGUUUAAAGGAUUUUCAUAUCUUAGUUCAUCACCAUCAGUAAUGAUUUUAGUAGUCAUG
rnacentral:lncRNA from 1 species